GGGACAUCUCCCCGUUCAUAAUUAAUUAGUGUCUGCCGCCGGCCAGCCCCUGUCCCAGUAGGGCAGGAGUGAGCUGGGUGUGCUACACAGCCACCUCUUUCGCCUUAAGAACAGAACAAACGCGUCGUUGAGCUAGUACCUGAAAGAACCAAAGAACCAAGAAGUACUAGAGCCUGUGCUGAGGAGAACCCUUUGUCAGACACAAGGAGCAGAAGGAGAGCUUGUGGACAUGGAGGGAGACUGGGCCUUCCAUGGUAACGGACUGCUCCAAAUCCACUGAGGCCUUUCCAGGACACUGACAGAAAUAACGCAGCAUCAGUUGGCAUGACAGAAGAAAGAGUACAUUCAAGAAUUCAGUUAAUCAUUCCAUGAAAAUGUCAACACAGGAGAUGACAGAUAGGACAAAAACACCUAUUGGUCUUUCAACUUUGCUUGAUUGACUAGUUACCUGCAGCUUUGAAUAUGGACUAGAAUAAAGAAUAUUCACCUGGAAUAGGAGUGCUUUGAGUAACUAUGUGAUACAUCUAGGUUUCAUACUGAUGUGCACAUUAUAUCUAAAAGACUCAAUAUAGUGGAAGUAUUAUUACUGACUCUGCAGUAUUCCUUAUUCAAACUGACAUCAAUUUCAGUGGGGAUCUUUAACAAAAAAUGACUCUUGCCAAUCCAGUGCCCAUUUUAGACCAUUGCUAUUACUCUAUUGAUUUUUG